UACAGAGGUCCCAAGCGUUGUUCGGAAUUACUGGGCGUAAAGGGCUCGUAGGUGGCCAACUAAGUCGGACGUGAAAUCCCUCGGCUUAACCGGGGAACUGCGUCCGAUACUGGUUGGCUUGAGUUUGGGAGAGGGAUGCGGAAUUCCAGGUGUAGCGGUGAAAUGCGUAGAUAUCUGGAGGAACACCGGUGGCGAAGGCGGCAUCCUGGACCAAUACUGACGCUGAGGAGCGAAAGCCAGGGGAGCAAACGGG
rnacentral:rRNA from 1 species